AGCUAGGCAGAUAAAGAUGGGAGAAUGAAGUCAAGCCGCAGAGCAGAAUUGGAGAGGAAAUGGCCGAUUUGCAAGUGUGAAGUGGAGAGGGAGAGAAGGAGGAAGGAGUGUAUAGUUUGAAGACUGGACCUUCUGAUCUGCCAGUCACACACAACACAUGUGUGAUGCGGUGGCUACAGUGAUUGGAGGUGAUGAGGACAAAACAUUAUCUAUGAAGAGUGUCAUUGUGGAAGAUUCCAACAAAGCAUUGGAAUGUUUCAAUAGUGCAUUUCUAAGGUUGGUCUGAGCAGUCAUAAGCCUAACAAGUUACAGGGAAGGGGAAACAGACUCCAUCUCUUCAUAAGGAGUGAGAAGAUUCCAAAAGAGAAUGUAUGACUUCAAAUAUUGCUCUUGUCACUUCUGGAAAAAGCAAUCUGCUAUAGUUACUGUCCUCUCAACAUUGAAAGUUGUAAAGUAUAUACAGCCAAGUAAAUAUCCAAAGCAAAAAAUAAACUCCCUUUAAAGCAA